AACGAACGCUGGCGGCAGGCUUAACACAUGCAAGUCGAACGCUCGUAGCAAUACGGGAGUGGCGGACGGGUGAGUAACGCGUGGGAACGUGCCCUGAGGUACGGAAUAACUGCGGGAAACUGCAGCUAAUACCGUAUGAGCCCCGUGAGGGGGAAAGAUUUAUCGCCUUAGGAGCGGCCCGCGUCGGAUUAGCUAGUUGGUGGGGUAACGGCUUACCAAGGCUUCGAUCCGUAGCUGGUCUGAGAGGACGAUCAGCCACACUGGGACUGAGACACGGCCCAGACUCCUACGGGAGGCAGCAGUGGGGAAUCUUGCGCAAUGGGGGCAACCCUGACGCAGCCAUGCCGCGUGAAUGAUGAAGGCCUUAGGGUUGUAAAGUUCUUUUGCCCGUGACGAUGAUGACGGUAACGGGAGAAUAAGCUCCGGCUAACUUCGUGCCAGCAGCCGCGGUAAUGUCUGUACU
rnacentral:rRNA from 1 species